rnacentral:tRNA from 1 species
GGGGCUAUAGCUCAGAUGGGAGAGCGCCUGCACGGCAUGCAGGAGGUCGACGGUUCGAUCCCGUCUAGCUCCACCA